rnacentral:rRNA from 1 species
UAUCUCUGUAGAGUCUGCAUAUCAAUAAGCGGAGGAAAAGAAACUAACUAGGAUUCCCUUAGUAACGGCGAGUGAAGCGGGAAGAGCUCAAAUUUGAAAUCUUCAAGGUUUUACCUUGACGAUUUGUAGUUUAAAGAAGUGUUUUCUGUUGGUGUUUUGGUAAAAGUUCUUUGGAAUAGGACAUCAUAGAGGGUGAGAAUCCCGUAUUUGACCAUUAUUUCCAGCUUUGUGAUACACUUUCAAAGAGUCGGAUUGUUUGGGAAUGCAGUCCAAAAUGGGUGGUAAAUUUCAUCUAAAGCUAAAUAUUGGCGAGAGACCGAUAGCGAACAAGUACCGUGAGGAAAAGAUGAAAAGAACUUUGAAAAGAGAGUUAAACAGUACGUGAAAUUGUCAAAAGGGAGGCGUUUGACACCAGUGUUGUUUUCUCGAAAAUCAAUUAAAAAAGGCAGGAUUUUGUGUUGUAUUGACUUUAUCAGCUUUCUGCACUCUUUUCUUGUCUUUUUUAAUGCACUUUUCGUUUAACAAGUCAACAUCAAUUUCUUUUGUUGUAAAAGGGUCAUUGGAAGGUGGCUUUCUUUUCGGAGAAAGUGUUUAUAGCCUUUGGCCUCUGCAAUCGGAGAGAUUGAGGUCUGCAGCGUAGAUCCUUCGGGGCUAGAUACAUUUGUGCUAAGUUAUAGCCUUUUAUAGACAACUUGUUGACUAUGAUUUAGUCAUUGUAGCUUACUCGCUUAUGUUAUUUUACCUACGCUUAGGAUGUUGACGAUCAGCUGAGCGCG